UUUUUUUUUUUUUUUUUUUUUUUUAAAGACAGGGCCUCUCACUGAAACUCUGGGUCUCACCGAUCACACUAGGCUGACUGGCCAGCUCGCCCUUGUGCUGCCAUUCCAAGCCUGUCUAACUACUCUCAACUUGAUGAGGGUGGCGAGGGAUGAGCUUAGGUCUUCAAGGCUUCAGGUCCUCGUGCUGUGCAGCAAACACUCUCUGACCGACCCAGCUCCACAGCCACCCAUCACUAUGUAUCCCAUGGGGCUUUGCUCCUGGUGAUCUUCCCAGCUAAAAGAUACUUUCCCCAGCAUUCAUAUCUUCCUCCUUUCCUUCCCUCCUACACCCACACAGGCUUUGUCAGGUGACUCUGCCUAUCAGCAGCUUCAGGACUUGACACCUAGAAUAGACCUGUAUAUUACCCUACUUCUUAGUAGCCAUUUAAUCUUGAGCAGGUCACCUGAUUUUAUGUAGCGUCUCCAUUUUGGAAAAUGAGCUAGUAAUAGUAACCAUCUUAAUAGAUUGCUGGAAAGAUUAUAUGAGUUGAUUUGCAUAAAGUCCGUACAACUAUGGUUCAUAAGUAUCAUAAGACCAUCAUCUCCAAUACAUCCUGUUCCUUGGUUUAUAGUUGACUAACAACCGAAAGUGUGUGGGUCUGAGUGGGUAGCUCAUCAGUUACCCACAAUGCAUAUGGACGUUGUAGGCUGUAGAUGUGUUCCUCAUGAAGUGUCCCAGGUAGGACAGCAGCUGCUGUACACUCUCAGUUCCCAUUCAUUCUGGAGCGUUCUCUGUCUUAGGCUAUGCUUUUUGGGGAGAGUAUGCUGUGCAGAUUUAUGUGCAGAAGAUUUGGAGAUGUGUACUUGGUUGGCAUCAGGACCACUGAGAAGAUGAAGGAUGUGGGGUUGGGCAGGGGAAGAUGCUGAACAGAACUGAGCCUACAGCAGAGACUACAGCCAAUCCUUUGGGAACUUUGGAGUUGAGUGGUUCAUUUAGAGUAACUGAAAUCUAGGAAAGGGGAGUUGGGUCUUUAUAAGUCCACACUGGUCUUUGGAUGCAGGUUGUGCUCACGUUGGCUUUCUUUACCCAGGUGCUCCCCACAUUCUCUUCCCAAAACCCCUGAUCCCAUCCCAGUCAAAUCAUGGCUGAAGCUUGACUUCUGCUUAUCUCUCAAGAUUCAGGUCUGUCAGCUUGAAGCAAGACUGAUAUGUAAGGAGUCCUUAGUGAGAGAAUUGGUUAGGGAGAAUCUUUUUCUAGAGAUCAGAACUAGCCAAUGGAGACACUGACUAGACUUUAAGCUGGUAUUCCUCAAUGCAUGGACAUGGUUCUUUAUGUAGAAAAUGGGGAAUCAGGUUAGAGAAGUCUUUCCACACUCAAGUUUCCAGGUAUCCAGUUUUACUCUAUACCAGAUGCCAACUGCUUUUUCUGUGAGGGGCCGAAUAGUAACCAUUUUCAUCUUCAUGGUGUAUAUCGCAGCUGAACUCUGGCACUGUGUGGGACAUACCCAUAAACAACAUGUAAAUAAUGGGUGUGGCUUAUUCAAAUGAAACUUUAUUGACAGACACAUGCAGCUAAGGAAGCAACACUACCUGGCAAUGUGUUGGGAAUGUGCAUUUUUAGACUCUCUUCAAGGCCAUCAGUCAGUCAGCAUGGCUAUGUCCCCAUGAAGACGGCUUGAUUACUGGAUAUGGUGACAUAGGAGGCUGAAUCAGGAGGGUUGCUAUUGUAAGCUAGCCUGACUAUGUGGUUGGAGACCAUCCUGGCUUAUACAGUGUGGUCUUGCCAUCCAGUCCCCACAGAAAGAGCAUCAAUCAUCUCAUU
rnacentral:lncRNA from 1 species